GACGAACGCUGGCGGCGUGCUUAACACAUGCAAGUCGAACGGAAAGGCCCUGCUUUUGUGGGGUGCCCGAUUGCCAAACGGGUGAGUAACAGGAGUGUAACCUGCCCUUGAUUUUGGGGUAACUUCAGGAAACUGGGCCUAAUCCCGGAUAGCAUACCCCCUUCCAUGGUGGGGGUUGGAAAGUUUCGCCGGUUGGGGUUGGAGGCGCGGGUUACCAGUUUGUUGGUGGGGGAGUGGCUUACCAAGCCUUUGAAGGGUAGCCGGCAUGGGAGGGUGACCGGCCACAUUGGGACUGAGAUACGGACCAGAGUCCUACGGGAGGCAGCAGUGGGGAAUAUUGCACAAUGGGCGGAAGCCUGAUGCAGCAACGCCGCGUGCGGGAUGACGGCCUUCGGGUUGUAAACCGCUUUCGCCUGUGACGAAGCGUGAGUGACGGUAAUGGGUAAAGAAGCACCGGCUAACUACGUG
rnacentral:rRNA from 1 species